rnacentral:rRNA from 1 species
GUGGGGAAUAUUGGACAAUGGGCGAAAGCCUGAUCCAGCAAUGCCGCGUGAGUGAUGAAGGCCUUAGGGUUGUAAAGCUCUUUUACCAGGGAAGAUAAUGACUGUACCGGAAGAAUAAGCCCCGGCUAACUUCGUGCCAGCAGCCGCGGUAAUACGAAGGGGGCUAGCGUUGUUCGGAAUCACUGGGCGUAAAGCGCACGUAGGCGGACCAUUAAGUCAGGGGUGAAAGCCUGGAGCUCAACUCCAGAACUGCCUUUGAUACUGAUGGUCUCGAGUAUGGAAGAGGUUGGUGGAACUGCGAGUGUAGAGGUGAAAUUCGUAGAUAUUCGCAAGAACACCGGUGGCGAAGGCGGCCAACUGGUCCAUUACUGACGCUGAGGUGCGAAAGCGUGGGGAGCAAACAGGAUUAGAAACCCGGGUAGUCC